rnacentral:ncRNA from 1 species
AUGUUAUCAAGAAAGGUGGAGGGAUUAGACCCUAUGAAGCCUUAGCAACCCUUUGUUUUGCAAAGAAGGUGCUACAUUCUACUUAAUGUACGAUUCAUGUAUCGACACAUUGGAUAGAUAACUA